UGUUUCGAAACUGCACGAUUUCGACAUUUUGGUUUCAUGGGCGAAGCUCUAGGAAUGGUUUAUUCAUUUUUGGUUUCGUUAAUAUUUAUUCUGCUUGCCAGCAAAGUGCUCGGUAUGGACUGGGACCGAAAUAAGGUGAUAAGAGGAUCCAUGAAGUCGUGUUCCACUCACGCUGAGUGCCCGAAGGGUGAGUGUUGUCUCUACAGCAUGAGCCGAGGGGACAAUUGUAUGGAGCAGAACGGAACGUGUCCCGUCUUCAUCACUAAAAAGCCACGUCACACCCGCUUCUGUCCUCCUUACAAUAGCGGCGAGUGGUUGUACAGCAUCUGUCGAAAACCACAACACUGCCCCCCGCCUCUGCUUUGCUGUCCCAUCAGGGGUGGAAACUACUGCGUCUUCUCGUUCUAUGAUCGUAGAAAGCGAUAAACAUUGGAUGCUUUCUGAAAAUA